UGGAGAGGUGGCCGAGUGGUCGAAGGCACCAGUCUUGAAAACUGGCAACGGGCAACCGUUCGUGGGUUCGAACCCCACCCUCUCCGUC
rnacentral:tRNA from 1 species